GACGAACGCUGGCGGCGUGGAUUAGGCAUGCAAGUCGAACGGUAUCAUCCUUUCGGGGGUGAGAGAGUGGCGAACUGGUGAGUAACACGUAGGUUAUCUACCCUCAAGACGGGGACAACCCAGGGAAACUUGGGCUAAUACCGGAUGUGAGCAACUUUUAGUUGUUUGAAAGGUGGCGUAAGCUGUCGCUUGGGGAUGAGCCUGCGUCCUAUUAGUUAGUUGGUGAGGUAACGGCUCACCUAGGCAAUGAUAGGUAGGCGGCCUUAACGGGUGGUCGCCCACACUGGGAUUGAGAUACGGCCCAGACUCCUACGGGAGGCAGCAGUCGAGAAUAGUCUACAAUGGUCGGAAGACUGAUAGUGCGACGCCGCGUGAACGAUGAAUCCCUUCGGGGUGUAAAGUUCUUUUAUAUGUGAGCAGUGCUUCUUAUAUUAACAGUAUGGGGAGAGAGAUAUUAGCAUAUGAAUAAGCAAACGGCUAAACUCCGUGCCAGCAAGCCGCGGU
rnacentral:rRNA from 1 species